rnacentral:miRNA from 1 species
CGUUUGAACGUUCUGUACUGCCC